rnacentral:misc_RNA from 1 species
GAUGAAGAACGCAGCGAACUGCGAUAAGUAAUGUGAAUUGCAGAAUUCAGUGAAUCAUCGAGUCUUUGAACGCACAUUGCGCCACCUGGCAUUCCGGGGGGCAUGCCUGUCCGAGCGUCAUUGCUGCCCUUCAAGCCCGGCUUGUGUGUUGGGUCGUCGUCCCCCCCGGGGGACGGGCCCGAAAGGCAGCGGCGGCACCGCGUCCGGUCCUCGAGCGUAUGGGGCUUUGUCACCCGCUCGAUUAGGGCCGGCCGGGCGCCAGCCGGCGUCUCCAACCUUCUAUUUUACCAGGUUGACCUCGGAUCAGGUAGGGAUACCCGCUGAACUUAAGCAUAUCAAUAAGCGGAGGA